CAGUAGCCGCGGUAAUACGUAGGUCCCGAGCGUUGUCCGGAUUUAUUGGCGUAAAGCGAGCGCAGGCGGUUAGAUAAGUCUGAAGUUAAAGGCUGUGGCUUAACCAUAGUACGCUUUGGAAACUGUUUAACUUGAGUGCAAGAGGGGAGAGUGGAAUUCCAUGUGUAGCGGUGAAAUGCGUAGAUAUAUGGAGGAACACCGGUGGCGAAGGCGGCUACCUGGACUGACACUGACACUGAGGCGCGAAAGCGUGGGGAGCAAACAGGAUUAGAUACCCCCGUAGUCCCUGUCUCUUAUACAC
rnacentral:rRNA from 1 species